AGCAGCCGCGGUAAUUCCAGCUCCAAUAGCGUAUAUUAAAGUUGCUGCAGUUAAAAAGCUCGUAGUUGGAUUUCUGGGUUCCCGCUUUUGGCCGGCCACGGUUUCGUGUGUUAGUGCUUGGAGCGGCGCCCAUCCUUCGCAUCGCUCGGGUCUGCUCUUCAUUGAACGGGCACGGGUAUGCGAUCGUUUACUUUGAAAAAAU
rnacentral:rRNA from 1 species